CUCACCGGCGCGACUACUGUCUGCUCUCCGUAUCUGUUACUAUAGCAACAGCCUCACCAUAGAGUUUGCCAACCAUUCAGAACGGGGGACACUGUUGCUCUCUCUUGGACUGGCUGGCUCAGCAGUAGGGGACACAGAGAACACAGGAAGUAGAGAUGGCUGGUCAAAGAGAGGCUACGCUUGCCAUUGAUGGAGAAGGGACAAAGGGACACCUGGAGGACCCCCACCCGCAGGACAUUAGCUCUAAAAAGGCAAAAACAAUAUCUCAGCCUCAUGACAAAAUGUGUAACAACAAAAUGUUCUCUGUCUCAUGGCAGGGUGUUUAGAAUAGCAUGAGAUUAACAAUAAAACAGCG